rnacentral:rRNA from 1 species
AACGAACGCUGGCGGCAGGCUUAACACAUGCAAGUCGAGCGCCCCGCAAGGGGAGCGGCAGACGGGGGAGUAACGCGUGGGAAUCUACCCAUCUCUACGGAAUAACGCAUGGAAACGUGUGCUAAUACCGUAUACGUCCUUCGGGAGAAAGAUUUAUCGGAGAUGGAUGAGCCCGCGUUGGAUUAGCUAGUUGGUGGGGUAAAGGCCUACCAAGGCAACGAUCCAUAGCUGGUCUGAGAGGAUGAUCAGCCACACUGGGACUGAGACACGGCCCAGACUCCUCAGGGAGGCAGCAGUGGGGAAUAUUGGACAAUGGGCGGAAGCCUGAUCCAGCCAUGCCGCGUGAGUGAUGAAGGCCCUAGGGUUGUAAAGCUCUUUCACCGGUGAAGAUAAUGACGGUAACCGGAGAAGAAGCCCCGGCUAACUUCGUGCCAGCCGCCGCGGUAACAC